rnacentral:rRNA from 1 species
UAUGGGGGGGGCAAGCGUUGUUCGGAAUUACUGGGCGUAAAGGGCUCGUAGGUGGCCAACUAAGUCAGACGUGAAAUCCCUCGGCUUAACCGGGGAACUGCGUCUGAUACUGGAUGGCUUGAGUGUGGGAGAGGGAUGCGGAAUUCCAGGUGUAGCGGUGAAAUGCGUAGAUAUCUGGAGGAACACCGGUGGCGAAGGCGGCAUCCUGGACCACGACUGACGCUGAGUGAGCGAAAGCCAGGGGAGCAAACGGG